UUUUCUUUGCAGGCAAUGUGGCAUUGCUAAUUUGAAAAUCAGCAUUUUUGUUGACUCAAAUGCUAUACAGAUGAAUCCUGUCUAACUCUGAGCACAAGUCAGGUUUUCCAAGGAAAAGAAAGCAUCCUCUUAACCCUUUCCUGGCUUGUGGUGGUUUUGAAGGAAAGUAAAUAAUUGCCUCUUUAACAAUCUCAAGGGAAAUACCUGUGAAAGGCUUUGCACAGAUUGAACCCCAGAAUUUUCAUUGUGAGAAACUGCAGCAUUUCAAACCAGAUUUUUGUUUGGCACAGGUAGUCUAGAUGUCUUUUACAUAGGAAUUUCAGUCCAGAGGCACUGGAUAAUUCCAGGUAAGCAUCCAGGAUGGCCACCAUGCUCUUACUGAAAUGGUUUUGCUGGUCCCUCAGCACCCUUCCACUGAGUGCUGAUUCCUCUCUGCCUUCUGUGCACUGGAAAACGUUGACAGUUCGAUCA